GACGAACGCUGACGGCGUGCUUAACACAUGCAAGUCGAAGGGAGUGGCGAACGGGUGAGUAACACGUGAGUAACCUGCCCUUUUCUUUGGGAUAAGCCUGGGAAACUGGGUCUAAUACUGGAUGGAUUGGGAUGGGCUCGCGGCUUAUCAGCUUGUUGGUGGGGUGAUGGCUUACCAAGGCUUUGACGGGUAGCCGGCCUGGGAGGGUGGUCGGUCACACUGGGACGGAGUUACGGCCCAGACUCCUACGGGAGGCAGCAAUGGGGGAUAUUGCACAAUGGACGAAAGUCUGAUGCAGCGACGUCGUGUGGGGGAUGAAGGCCUUCGGGUUGUAAACUCCUUUUGUUAGGGAAGCGGUACCUAACGAAUAAGCACCGGCUAACUCCGUGCCAGCAGCCGCGGUAAUAC
rnacentral:rRNA from 1 species